rnacentral:lncRNA from 1 species
UACUAGAUAAAAGACAUUUUAUUAAAAUUCUCUGUUUUAACUCUAAGUCCACUGAUGAUACCGACUCAUCUAUUGCCUAAUCAAGCAAUGAUGGUAAUGGAACUGAAAGCAUAGUUAAAAACGUACACCUGAUCAAAAUUUGUUAAAAAUACAAUAUUUCAAUAACUGCCUCACAAAUACAUCCUUUAAAAAGCAGUUUUGAGAUCAUAUGAAUAUGGAUCCACUCACUGCAUUAGAAUUCUACCAGAAUUUUAGUUUUCUUAAGAAUAAUAAACAUAUUAUUACAAUAAUGGCUUGUAGGAAUGAAUGCAUGUCUACGACUUCUCUGGUAAUUCAACAAGUAUAAAAACAGACUGAUUUUGUUUAUAGUUUUAUAAAUAUACUCAUCUAAAACGAGCCAUUUUGUUUUGGACUUCUGCUAAUAUUUAAAAAUUAAUUUCAGCCCCCAAAAAACUCGAAGUGUUUCCUAUUUUUAUAUCAACAAAUACUCUCCAGAUAUUUUUACAUACUUAUUUUGUCAACUGAUUUUAUAAUUGACUAUGCCAUUUGGUUGAUAACAUCUUUUCACAGUACAUAGAAAUACAAGACAAAUUAGAUCAACAGUGUACAACAAGAAAUGAAAUAUACAUUUUUUAAAAUAACUUACUUUCAUGCAUUUCAAACAAUUAUUAUUUAAGAAAACAUUCAGGGGAUGUCUUGCAAGUUUGAUAUGAAAGUGAUUCUUAUCAGAUAGGCAUAUGUCUCAAUAUAAACCAGAUGAACCAAUGGAGUCUGUUCAAGAGAUCUGUAAUAUUUCUUACUAGAAUAAGAGCCACUCUGACCAUGAUACCCUAUGAAAGUGAUCUCAAUGGCGAUCCAAGCGAAACACCAUUCUAUUUGAUCUUUUAUGUUUUAAUAUGUAUAAUUUGUAUAAUGAUAAACGAAAGCUUUCAAUCCUCGUGUCAAACUACACGUUCACACUCCCAAGUAAGCAUUUUCUUAUCAAGCAACUUACUCAAAAUAAUGUCUAGUCAUAGAUUCCCAUGUUAAAUCAGUCAUAUAACAGACUUUAAACUACCUAGGGUUCUUAGUAUAUGCAUUCGUCAUCGAUUGAGGAUUUUACUUGUUGUAGCUAUGAGAGACAAGUCUGGAGAUUAAGUUAAUCCUAACUCUUCUUAAAGACAUUAUUUCUUAAAAUCUCAAAAUCUGGCAUACUGAAGAAAUAUUAACCUAUAGUAUUUUAUCAUGCAGAAAUCUUUGCAUUAAAACAAAAUUAUACCAGGUGCUCCGCAGGGCGCAGCUUUAUACGACCGCAGAGGUUGAACCCUGAACAGUUGGGGCAAGUAUGGACAAAACAUUCAAGCAUGAUACAGCUCUGAAUUUGGAUUGUGAUCAAAUUUUUGACAUUACAUGGGUUUUUUUUACACAAAACAAAUGCCAAGAUUUUACAAAUCAAUUAAAGAUUUCUUCUUCAAACUUUUUAAAUCUAAAAUUAAAUAGUUGACACAGCAUAGGUUUCUGACACAGAAUGAAUGUGGUCUAAUGAACUUAAAAGGUUUUUUUUUGCCUUUGAGCAAUUCACUAUGCUGUUGAAUAUUAAUCCUCUCAAAAAAAAUGUUUGAAGAAAUUUUCUUUUUAUUUAUGAAAUCUGAAAUGAGAAAAAUUUAACCCCCCCCCUUUUUUUUCACAUCCCCGUUUCCCUUUUUCAAAACUGAUAUCAAUUCAAAUUUCUAAUGGAGUUUGCAACAAUAACUACUCAUUUAAAUACAUCAUAAAAUAUUAAGAUGUAAAAAAAACUGCUUGUUAUCACUGAAUGGUAAAGAUUAUUUAAAUUUAUCAGUUGGUAGUAAAAAGUGUAUAUACAUUGUAUAUUGUAU